rnacentral:lncRNA from 1 species
CCCUCACGUUACUACCUCCGUCCUCUCGCCUCUUCAACUCUCUCUCUCUGGAGCACUCCCUCCUCCCAUGAUUUUGUGAUUCCAUACGCACUUAUAUAUAUGAAGAUAACAAUUUCUUCUAAAUUAUGUUGAUUUUUGUUACUCUUGAGUAAAAGAAAAGUAGACCUAGUGCUGCUAACUCGUUAUUUAUGUUAAUUGCAAUGACCAUUUUUAAAGAAGUGAUUUCUAUGAGCUGCAUACUAAUAUUUGAAUAGAUUCUGGAAAAAUAUGAGCUUUAUCCUGUAGUCUGCAAGAUUUCCCACUGAGUGUAAUGAAUUUUCAUCCUGGUAAUGAGUCAACAUCAGUAUAUCAGUGUUUGUAUUUUGUAUUUAAUUUACCUUAUUGCUUUUUAUAAAUUUAUUUAUUUUUAUCUAUAGGGAUUAAUUUUAUUGCUUUAAUUCUAGAAAUGUACAUAUUUGACACAUUUAAAAAGUAAUUGGGAAGUGGAAUGUAUCUGAAGUAAAAAUAAGAGUAGUGACAGAGUAAAACUAACUAUAUUCAAUUAUUUUCUUAUCUCAGAGAUAACUAUGAACAUUGCAUGCCAUUUUGAUGAUAUUUAGUCUCUUUUAUUUGGAGAGAAAUAACAAUGCUCUUCUCUGCUAUUACCACAGAAAUAAAACGCCUCUUCUCUAGGUCCCUCUACCUUCAUGGCAACAAAGACGUCCAGAUGACAGAUGGAGGAUCCUCUUGGUGUGGGCCUAAGAUGGCCUUUCAGAGAAUCCCACAGAAGUUGUACCAGAAGUGUCACAGAUAAAUAUAACUGCAACAUUGCUAGAAAAUGACUGUAAAUCUUCAGUAUCUUUUGACUGGGUAAAAUUAAGUUCUGAGCACUGCUAAGAAGUAGAUCUAGCAACAUCACCUCCAAUUCUCACCAGUCAUCAGCUGUGAACAUGACUUCCAAAGUUUCCAGCGCACAGAGGUUUGUACAUAUAUAUUUAUAUGUACUAUAUAUAUAUAUAGUAUAUAUAUAUAUAGUACAAUAUAUAUAUAUAAUGCAAAAUUUUUUUAAAAUGCCAGAUUUGGUGCUUGCAUGAUAUUAAAUGUCAGUGAUAUUCAGUCCACUUUUGAUAAAAUCAGAUGAAUUGCUUAAUCAACAAGUACUUCCAUACUCAUGACUGUGGGCGGCACAGCUUCAGACCAGAUGACCAGGAAUGGAAGACUCCUGCUUAAAUCUGUGGAAUUAAGUGGGUGCCUAUGCUUCCUUCUGUUUGACAAAGGCAGUUUGAAUUUGGUUUUAAUAUAGGUGAAUAGUCAUAGCUAAUUUGUUGUAUCUGGUUUACUGAUUUCUGGUAGACAAUAUGUUAUAAUACUACAAUAGUAACUCCAGGACAUACAGGAACUAUACAGCCUGUCAGACUUUACACAAAAACAAACAAUUCAAACAACAACACGGUAGUUGAAAAGUGUGGAAGGUGAAACUGAAAAGCAGGACUCACAGAAAAGAUACAAACAUCUAGAUUUGGCUAAAGAAUGGGGUAUUAGCAGCAUCCUUGUUUUCUCAGAAGUGUGUUACAUCAUGAGGAGGCAGAUCAUCACUAAAAUAUAACAGUGUAGAGGAGCUGAUAUUUCCUUAUUAGCCAAUGGCCUGACAGAAUUCUUUUGACACAUUUCUUUUGAAUAGAAAGAAUUUUGAAUAUAUGAUCU